rnacentral:rRNA from 1 species
GACGAACGCUGGCGGCGUGCUUAACACAUGCAAGUCGAACGGAAAGGCCCUGCUUUUGUGGGGUGCUCGAGUGGCGAACGGGUGAGUAACACGUGAGUAACCUGCCCUUGACUUUGGGAUAACUUCAGGAAACUGGGGCUAAUACCGGAUAGGAGCUCCUGCUGCAUGGUGGGGGUUGGAAAGUUUCGGCGGUUGGGGAUGGACUCGCGGCUUAUCAGCUUGUUGGUGGGGUAGUGGCUUACCAAGGCUUUGACGGGUAGCCGGCCUGAGAGGGUGACCGGCCACAUGAGGACUGAGAUACGGACCAGACUCCUACGGGAGGCAGAAGUGGGGAAUAUUGCACAAUGGGCGGAAGCCUGAUGCAGCAACGCCGCGUGCGGGAUGACGGCCUUCGGGUUGUAAACCGCUUUCGCCUGUGACGAAGCGUGAGUGACGGUAAUGGGUAAAGAAGCACCGGCUAACUACGUG